rnacentral:rRNA from 1 species
UACGUAGGGUGCAAGCGUUAAUCGGAAUUACUGGGCGUAAAGCGUGCGCAGGCGGUUUUGUAAGUCUGUCGUGAAAUCCCCGGGCUCAACCUGGGAAUUGCGAUGGAGACUGCAAGGCUAGAAUCUGGCAGAGGGGGGGUAGAAUUCCACGUGUAGCAGUGAAAUGCGUAGAGAUGUGGAGGAACACCGAUGGCGAAGGCAGCCCCCUGGGUCAAGAUUGACGCUCAUGCACGAAAAGCGUGGGGAGCAAAC